rnacentral:rRNA from 1 species
AUUUGGUCGUAGACCCGAAACCAGGUGAUCUACCCUUGGUCAGGUUGAAGUUCAGGUAACACUGAAUGGAGGACCGAACCGACUUACGUUGAAAAGUGAGCGGAUGAACUGAGGGUAGCGGAGAAAUUCCAAUCGAACCUGGAGAUAGCUGGUUCUCUCCGAAAUAGCUUUAGGGCUAGCCUCAAGUGAUGAUUAUUGGAGGUAGAGCACUGUUUGGACGAGGGGCCCCUCUCGGGUUACCGAAUUCAGACAAACUCCGAAUGCCAAUUAAUUUAACUUGGGAGUCAGAACAUGGGUGAUAAGGUCCGUGUUCGAAAGGGAAACAGCCCAGACCACCAGCUAAGGUCCCAAAAUAUAUGUUAAGUGGAAAAGGAUGUGGCGUUGCCCAGACAACUAGGAUGUUGGCUUAGAAGCAGCCAUCAUUUAAAGAGUGCGUAAUAGCUCACUAGUCGAGUGACACUGCGCCGAAAAUGUACCGGGGCUAAACAUAUUACCGAAGCUGUGGAUUGUCCUUUGGACAAUGGUAGGAGAGCGUUCUAAGGGCGUUGAAGCAUGAUCGUAAGGACAUGUGGAGCGCUUAGAAGUGAGAAUGCCGGUGUGAGUAGCGAAAGACGGGUGAGAAUCCCGUCCACCGAUUGACUAAGGUUUCCAGAGGAAGGCUCGUCCGCUCUGGGUUAGUCGGGUCCUAAGCUGAGGCCGACAGGCGUAGGCGAUGGAUAACAGGUUGAUAUUCCUGUACCACCUAUAAUCGUUUUAAUCGAUGGGGGGACGCAGUAGGAUAGGCGAAGCGUGCGAUUGGAUUGCACGUCUAAGCAGUAAGGCUGAGUAUUAGGCAAAUCCGGUACUCGUUAAGGCUGAGCUGUGAUGGGGAGAAGACAUUGUGUCUUCGAGUCGUUGAUUUCACACUGCCGAGAAAAGCCUCUAGAUAGAAAAUAGGUGCCCGUACCGCAAACCGACACAGGUAGUCAAGAUGAGAAUUCUAAGGUGAGCGAGCGAACUCUCGUUAAGGAACUCGGCAAAAUGACCCCGUAACUUCGGGAGAAGGGGUGCUCUUUAGGGUUAACGCCCAGAAGAGCCGCAGUGAAUAGGCCCAAGCGACUGUUUAUCAAAAACACAGGUCUCUGCUAAACCGUAAGGUGAUGUAUAGGGGCUGACGCCUGCCCGGUGCUGGAAGGUUAAGAGGAGUGGUUAGCUUCUGCGAAGCUACGAAUCGAAGCCCCAGUAAACGGCGGCCGUAACUAUAACGGUCCUAAGGUAGCGAAAUUCCUUGUCGGGUAAGUUCCGACCCGCACGAAAGGCGUAACGAUUUGGGCACUGUCUCAACGAGAGACUCGGUGAAAUCAUAGUACCUGUGAAGAUGCAGGUUACCCGCGACAGGACGGAAAGACCCCGUGGAGCUUUACUGUAGCCUGAUAUUGAAAUUCGGCACAGCUUGUACAGGAUAGGUAGGAGCCUUUGAAACGUGAGCGCUAGCUUACGUGGAGGCGCUGGUGGGAUACUACCCUAGCUGUGUUGGCUUUCUAACCCGCACCACUUAUCGUGGUGGGAGACAGUGUCAGGCGGGCAGUUUGACUGGGGCGGUCGCCUCCUAAAAGGUAACGGAGGCGCUCAAAGGUUCCCUCAGAAUGGUUGGAAAUCAUUCAUAGAGUGUAAAGGCAUAAGGGAGCUUGACUGCGAGACCUACAAGUCGAGCAGGGUCGAAAGACGGACUUAGUGAUCCGGUGGUUCCGCAUGGAAGGGCCAUCGCUCAACGGAUAAAAGCUACCC